UACAGAGGGGGCAAGCGUUGUUCGGAAUACUGGGCGUAAAGGGCGCGUAGGCGGCCUGCUAAGUCGAACGUGAAAUCCCCGGGCUCAACCCGGGAACUGCGUCCGAUACUGGUAGCGUUGAAUUCGGGAGAGGGAUGCGGAAUUCCAGGUGUAGCGGUGAAAUGCGUAGAUAUCUGGAGGAACACCGGUGGCGAAGGCGGCAUCCUGGACCGACAUUGACGCUGAGGCGCGAAAGCCAGGGGAGCAAAGCGGG
rnacentral:rRNA from 1 species